rnacentral:rRNA from 1 species
GUGAGGAAUAUUGGUCAAUGGGCGGGAGCCUGAACCAGCCAAGUCGCGUGAAGGAAGAAGGAUCUAUGGUUCGUAAACUUCUUUUGCAGGGGAAUAAAGUGCAGGACGUGUCCUGUUUUGUAUGUACCCUGAGAAUAAGGAUCGGCUAACUCCGUGCCAGCAGCCGCGGUAAUACGGAGGAUCCGAGCGUUAUCCGGAUUUACUGGGUUUAAAGGGUGCGUAGGUGGUUUGAUAAGUCAGCGGUGAAAGUUUGCAGCUUAACUGUAAAAAUGCCGUUGAAACUGUCGGACUUGAGUGUAAAUGAGGUAGGCGGAAUGCGUGGUGUAGCGGUGAAAUGCAUAGAUAUCACGCAGAACUCCGAUUGCGAAGGCAGCUUACUAAGCUACAACUGACACUGAAGCACGAAAGCGUGGGGAUCAAACAGGAUUAGAAACCCGGGUAGUCC